rnacentral:lncRNA from 1 species
GGUAACACCCUAAAAAUUUGUUCUUUUUAAAUUAGGUGAAAAAUUUAAUUGGGUAUGUUUGUGCUCAUGAAAAUAUAGGAAAAAUAAUAAUUUCAUUAAAUUAAAAUUCAUUAUAGGAUUUAGUAACAUGUAUGUGCACUCAUGCUGGAGCAUUUAUAUUUUUGUACUGUGUGACUUUGAGUAAAGAUCAAAAGUAUUUCAAAAGGAUUUUUAAUGAGUUUUCAAAUGGCUUUUGAAAUAAAAAGAAACAAAAGAAAACAAAAGAAAAGAGAAGAAAAAGGAAGAACAAAAACUCUCUCUCCAUUUGUUUUUGGCCCGAGAGGCCCAACCAAACUUUCUCUCCUCUCCCCCUGCCCAGACCUCGCGUUCGGCCCAAGCUGGCCAGCAACAGGCCCAACCACCACCCCCCUCGCCUCGGCCCAGUGCGCGGUCUAGGAAGUGCACGUCGGCUUUCCCCUCCCUUUCUCUCUCCGUUUGGCUGACGUCCGGACCCCACCUGUCAGCCCGUCUUCUUCAACCUCAAGUCGGAGCCGUGCAGGACUCCCGACCGGGAGCUAAACCCCGAUUCGUGCGGGAUUUUCUGCCAAAUUCGCCAAAGCCGAUCCCUUUUAAGCCCCGU